rnacentral:rRNA from 1 species
UGCAUGUGUUGUGGUGGAAAGAUUUAUCGGUGCAGGAUGGGCCCGCGGCCUAUCAGCUUGUUGGUGGGGUAAUGGCCUACCAAGGCGACGACGGGUAGCCGACCUGAGAGGGUGACCGGCCACACUGGGACUGAGACACGGCCCAGACUCCUACGGGAGGCAGCAGUGGGGAAUAUUGCACAAUGGGCGGAAGCCUGAUGCAGCGACGCCGCGUGAGGGAUGAAGGCCUUCGGGUUGUAAACCUCUUUCAGCAGGGACGAAGCGUGAGUGACGGUACCUGCAGAAGAAGCACCGGCUAACUACGUGCCAGCAGCCGCGGUAAUACGUAGGGUGCGAGCGUUGUCCGGAAUUACUGGGCGUAAAGAGUUCGUAGGCGGUUUGUCGCGUCGUUUGUGAAAACCCGGGGCUCAACUUCGGGCUUGCAGGCGAUACGGGCAGACUUGAGUGUUUCAGGGGAGACUGGAAUUCCUGGUGUAGCGGUGAAAUGCGCAGAUAUCAGGAGGAACACCGGUGGCGAAGGCGGGUCUCUGGGAAACAACUGACGCUGAGGAACGAAAGCGUGGGUAGCAAACAGGAUUAGAUACCCUGGUAGUCCACGCCGUAAACGGUGGGCGCUAGGUGUGGGUUCCUUCCACGGGAUCUGUGCCGUAGCUAACGCAUUAAGCGCCCCGCCUGGGGAGUAC